rnacentral:rRNA from 1 species
UACGGAGGCUGCAAGCGUUGUGCGGAUUUAUUGGGUUUAAAGGGCGCGUAGGCGGCCUCUUAAGUUAGUGGUGAACACGUUCGGCUUAACCGGAUAUCCGCCAUUGAUACUGAUAGACUUGAGCGCGACAGAGGGUGUUGGAAUGUGUGGUGUAGCGGUGAAAUGCUUAGAUAUCACGCAGAACACCAAUUGCGAAGGCAGAUGCCUAUGUCGUAACUGACGAUGAGGCGCGAAAGCGUGGGGAGCAAACAGG